rnacentral:piRNA from 1 species
UAGAACAAUGUUUUGAUAACGGUAGCUAC